UAGUCCUACUCUAGCUAGGACUAUAUCUUGUAUUCCUAUAAAUAAAUCUCUUCAUAUACUUUGUUGAUACGAUUGAUUAAUAAUAAAACUCUCUCUAGAAAUUCUUGUUCUCAUAUAGUAUUACUCUUAAAACCAAACCC